GUGCUGCCCCGGCCGCGGGGAGCCUGCCGCUGUCUCGAUCCGGACCGGCCGCAGCCGGGCUGCCCGCCCGAGGCAGGCUGUGCCGGCAAGGCGGCUGCCGGCAGUGAGCAGGUCCCUUCCUGGUGGUACUUCCUUCUGUUCAUUUAAAAGCACGUGUAGUGAUCUCCAGAGGUGAUUCAGUCAUAGUACUUGCUAUUUGUUUUUGACAUGGUAGCUUUCCAGAGCUGCAGCUUUUCACUGCAGUGCAGAGAUGCUCUUCCAGCUGGCUUUCUGCCAAGAGAAAUGAAACAGGAGACAUGCAAACUGGAGUGAAAGCUUAAAAAGAAUAUCCAAACACAGAAACUAGAAGCUCUGGGGAAGACUUUACAAUUAAAACACUAAUUUUGGUGAUGUGAUCAAUUUCCAUUCUUCUACCAUACCAUUAGUUCAUAGAAUGAUGGUAUUUCUGUUGCUUUCUAAUGUGAAUCAGAGAUGUCAGUGGUCAAGAUAGAAUUGCAGCAGAAAAGGCUUGAGUCCUAAGUGUGUAUGCACUGCAUAAGACAGUGAAAGGAGGGAUUUCUGGCUUACUGAGUUCCUCUUUUUCCCUGUAAAUUCACACUCCAGAACCAUAUAAUAAACCCGUACAGCACUUAUGGUGCAAGCUUCUGCUUUCAUGCACUGCAGCAGUAGCUGGCACCCCUACGAAAAUCAAAAGCUGACUGGGCUGAAUGUAGGUAUUAGAGGGCCUGCAAACACCACAGGAGACUGGCAAAAGCAGACUAAAGGAUACUGAAGGACAACAAAUCACAGGUGAAAACAUUUAUAAAAAGAGAUUUAGAAAGCAGGAUCAAAAUAGUGUAGAAAAGAAUUUCAUAAUAUCAUGAGAAGAACAAUCUAAACUAUUUCAAUUGCUCAGUCCUUUAGCCUGGAAUGAUUACUUCCUGUCCUUCCCUGAGAAAUUUCCAAGUGAAUAAAAAUACUUCAGGGAAUCAGAGACCUGUGACGGUACCCAAAUGAGGAUAAUGCCUUUAACAGUGGAGAAAUAUGGUAUCAUUUUGGCUGUGACAUUUCUAAGAAGCCUAGGACAGAGAAAAAUAGAUGACUGCCUAAAGGGACUUUAGACUUCAGGCCUUGAUCUCUCCUGCGGUGAACACAGCCAUCCCUAUGUGGAGCAGAAGAACCCAGUAUUGAUAAGGCUUUUAUGUACAGAUGGACUCUUAUGGAUGUUUAUACUGACACUUCCAGAAUGUGCUGUCAGAUAGAGAAACAGAGGCCUAAGCCUUCAGUUUGACCAAACCACAUUUUUGCUUCUAUUUAAUCUCAUGGGUAAUUUAUCAGAGUAGUACUCCUAUUCCUCCCAUUUUUGUCUUACAGAAAAUAUGGUAAAAUAUACUAAGUCUUGUGCAAUUUGGAACAAAGUUCUGAUCAAGGCCAGGAUAUAAGGGCUGAUGAAAUGAUCAGGUAUAUUCAUUGUGUCAGUGACGCAGACCUUUGGAAUUAAAAGAUACAUUUAUUAGACUUUGAA